rnacentral:tRNA from 1 species
GGGCCUGUGGUCUAGGGGUUAUGACGUCUCCUUCACACGGAGAAGGUCGCCGGUUCAAAUCCGGCCGGGCCCACCA